GCAGGCAUAUACAUUGCACACCCUUUAGUUUGUCCAUUGUCAUCUAACAUGUUUUUACAUAUUUUUUUAAAACUUUCUAAUUUCAGUAGCUCCUUGGUAAUGUGACCUACUGACCUCAAACUACUUUCAAAAUGUUCACGGACUGGCGGAGACGGCGCCGCGAGGCAUCCAGUGCGGUAACGCGACCGAUCCUGGAGAAGCUGGUGGGAGCCCCGGGGACUGUUCUCUUUUCUUUGUGAAGGAUAGGGCUCCCUGGAAUGGGUUCGCCCCUAGAGAGGGGCCCAAGACCUGGAAAGCGUCGCGGUAUCGGCGGCAUCCGGUAAGCUCUCCCUGGCCCUUGAAAAUCCGGGGGAGCGGGUGUAAAUCUCACGCCGGGCCGUACCCAUAUCCGCAGCAGGUC
rnacentral:ncRNA from 1 species